UUUUUGAUUAUAAUUUAAAGUCUGGUCUGCCCAUGAAAUAAAUUAAAGGGCUGCAGUAUUUUGACUGUACAAAGGUAGCAUAAUCAUUAGUCUCUUAAUUGGUGACUUGUAUGAAAGAUUUGAUGAAAUAUAAACUGUCUCUUUAUAAUUUAUAAAAUUUAAUUUUUUAGUAAAAAAGCUAAAAUAAUUUUAAAAGACGAGAAGACCCUAUAGAGUUUUAUAAUUUGUUUAAUUUUUAAUUUUUUAUUAAUUUAUUUUUAUUAAAAAUUAAAUUAAUUAUUUUGUUGGGGUGAUAGAAAAAUUUAAUAAACUUUUUUUAAAAUAAAUAAACAUUUAUAAAUGAUAAUAUGAUCCGGUUUUAUCGAUUAAAAGAUUAAAUUACCUUAGGGAUAACAGCGUAAUUUUUUUUUUUAGUUCAAAUAAGAAGAAAAGUUUGCGACCUCGAUGUUGGAUUAAGAUAAAAUUUAAAUGCAAAAGUUUAAAAUUUUGAUCUGUUCGAUCAUUAAAAUCUUACAUG
rnacentral:rRNA from 1 species